rnacentral:rRNA from 1 species
AUUGAACGCUGGCGGCAUGCUUUACACAUGCAAGUCGGACGAGUGGCGGACGGGUGAGUAACAUAUCGGAACGUGCCGAGUAAUGGGGGAUAACUACUCGAAAGAUUAGCUAAUACCGCAUAUUAUUCGAGCGGCCGAGAUUGGAUUAGCUGGUUGGUGGGGUAAAGGCCUACCAAGGCGACGAUCAGUAGCGGGUCUGAGAGGAUGACCAGCCACACUGGGACUGAGACACGGCCCAGACUCCUACGGGAGGCAGCAGUGGGGAAUAUUGGACAAUGGGCGCAAGCCUGAUGCAGCCAUGCCGCGUGUAUGAAGAAGGCCUUCGGGUUGUAAAGGACUUUUGGCAGGGAAGCGGUACCUGAAGAAUAAGCACCGGCUAACUACGUGCCAGCAGCCGCGGUAAUAC